CAGCAAUCUAAGGAAAGCGCAUGAAAAUUAUAAACAUUUGGCAUAAUCCAAGAUAAUCCUCUUUUUCUUAGUAUUUAAUUAAAUUACUUUGUGUACAUAGUGUACAAUAUCGUUGUGUAUAUAUUAUAGUGUAUAUAAUAUAUUAUAGUGUAUAUAAUAUUGUUUUGUGGAAUAAUUGGAAAAAUAUAUUCCUGUCAUUCACACUUGGCGGUGCACACAUCAAUCUCAUAAAAGAACAACGCAGUUGCGCAUAUCAUUGCAAGGUAAUUUUUUAACUGCUUUGAUAACAAUUGAUUUGAUGAUAAUAGAAUAUAAUAGAUAAUUAUAAUAAUAGAAUAUAAUAGAUAAUUAUAAUAAUAAAAUAUAAUAGAUAGAAUAUAAGUAUAUCAGUAUUAUAAAUAUUUCUCUCUCUCUCUCUCUCUCUCAUGCCUUGUUUUUUUAAUGGAUAUGUUUGCAAUUGACUCGCUUUUGUGAUCUCAAUAUUAAUAUAUAAGAUUAAUAUAGAUAGUUAUGAUAAUAGAAUAUAAUAGAUAGUUAUAAGAAUCUCAUGCGUUGUUUUUUUAAUAGAUAUAUUUGCGAUUGAGAGGGUUAUGAUACUCCAAUGAUCUCGCUUUUGUGAUCUCAAUAUUAAUAUGUAAGAUUAAUAUAGAAAAUUAAUAUAUAAUAUUAAUUUAUAGAAGGAUAUAAGAUAUUUAAAAAAAAUUUAUAUAUUUUGAUUAUAAAAUUUGUUGUAUUAAAUAAAUUAUAUUGAAUACAUUUUAUAAAUA